GAAGCAGUGAUGUGGAGCGAAACUCAAAAAAUAAGUCUCAGUUCGGAUUGAAGGCUGAAAUUCGCCUUCAUGAAGCCGGAAUUGCUAGUAAUGGCAGGUCAGCAUACUGCCGUGAAUACGUUCCCGGGCCUUGUACACACCGCCCGUCACACCAUGAGAGUUGGGAAUACCCGAAGCCUGUGAGCUAACGUUAAGAGGCAGCAGUCGAAGGUAGAAUCAAUGAUUGGGGUGAAGUCGUAACAAGGUAAC
rnacentral:rRNA from 1 species